UUAUGCUUGAAAGAAUGCCAUUUAUAAAAUAACACACCAAGACUUUGAAAUCAUUUUCAAGUUUUCAAUUCGAAAUAUGAUAACCACUUUUAUUAUAUUGAUUCCAACAAUAUUUCAAGUGUCAAUCACAAGCCACUCAUGUGGCUUCACUCAAUUAUGCUUAAUAUUAUGUCAAUUAUCCUAAAAACACGGAAUCUAUGAAUUCUCCAAUAUUCAAAUAUCGCGCAAAAUUGUAUUCAAGCAUGCGCAAUGAAACUGCUCAACUCCAACGACCAACGGUAACCUAACCUCGCAUUUUUUAAAGCUGUGAGUGGAAUCGUGGAUGUGAUGUGAUCGUCUAUUUUUGUUAUCUCUAUCCGUUGAAUGAUUGAAAGGUGCAGUGUGGAACAUCAAGUCUACUUCCAGUGCCCCAAAUGAAGAAAUCCAUAUAAUAAUCCAAAAUGGUUUUGAUUCUCCAAAGACCAUGAUGGAGGUCGAGAAAAACGGAGAAAUGAUCCAGCACCCAAUCACAUGUAACUAGGCCAAGUGCCAAUAAGUAAAUUUUUAGAGAAUCUCAAACAUCCAUAAUCUUUUUUGUAAUAAUUUUACAAUAUACAAACUUUUCAUGCAUUUAA